rnacentral:lncRNA from 1 species
ACACAUCAGAUAGAAUCUUCGCAAGGUAAAGUCUUAAUACACUUCUGUUAAUUCAACAAUCACUAACCACAGAAAAAUUAGCUCACAACAAAGACACGGCACAGUUAACGGAGAAAGUUCUGGAGCAGUAUCAGGAUCAAAUUCAAAGAUAGCCUAUUGAUAUCAAUCAGCGUGAAAAUUGGAUGUUUGAAAAUGAAUUGAAUGCACACAACUGGAUUCUCAAGAGUUGGUAUAUGAAAUGAAGACAAAUAGACAAUCCACAACUAAUGCACCAGCUGUUGUGAAAGCUAAAUUACCAGCUGAUGCUUCGGGCAAUCUGUUAUAGAAAAAGGUCUUGUGAUUGUUGGUGUUCCGACAGGCCCUGAUGUUGGACAAAACUCUAAGGAAGUUGGGCAUCAAAAAACAGUAAUUGAUUGUUCCAGUAAUUGAUUGUUCCAUUGCUGAUCCACAAUCAACCCUGUUGAACCCACCAGUAGUUGAUCUAGGGGAAAAUUUUGAUCAGCUAAUAAUCUGUCUAUUCUGAAUGUAGUUAGAUGCUUUAUUGUCUGAAGUAUUUUCUGCUUAUAAUAGGAUGUUUUUCUUUGUCAUUAUGGGCAAAAAUCUUGAACAGUGGAGCAAACAAGUUGCUGAGUACUAAAUUAUUUCCUUUGUGAUGAUUGCAGUUUCAUGCUAUGCUGAAGGAACUGAUUCACAAGGCAAUUAGUGAGACUGCGGCAAGUUCCCUUCUUUUUCUAAUUACUGUUCCGAGCUUAUGAUACAUAAUUGCUGUGAACGUCUCAUUAUAAUACUCCAUUAUUUUGGUGUGUUAAAGGGUCCAACAACUGGACACGUGCUUCUAUGUGCAGGAGCUAAAGCAGUAUCCAUCCCUACGAGUAGAGGUCAACAAUGCUUCUGUUGAAUCAUUAUAAAGGAUGGGGGAUGAAAGCAAAAAAAAGUAGUAUCCCUACCUACGAGUAGAGGUCAGCAAUGCAGUUGUUGAAUCAUUAGAAAGGAUGAGGGAUGAAGGCAAAAGAGCAACUCUUCAGCUGGUUGAAAAGGAGUGUAUGGAAAAAAGAGCUGGACAAGUGCUCGAUCCAAGGUAAUCUGGUGCAAAUCCAGCUGAAGAAACUGUUGUGGUGAAUGCAAGUUUGGAGACUACUAAUGCGGUGAAUGCAACUGGUGUGAUCAGGGAGAUAAGGGCAGAAGACUAGACAAAUAUGUCCAGUAAAAAAAGGCACUCCAAAAAAUAAAAAAAAUGCAGCAGGAUGGCUCAAGAGACAGUACAUGUGCACGAAGUACAAAUCUAUUUGCUGCUCUUGCUAAUGUGAAUGAUGAGGAAGAUUAUGGUGAUGCGUAUGUUGGAAAUUCGAGUGAGGAUGAUGCUCACGAGAGUGAAGAUGAAGGCAUAC